rnacentral:rRNA from 1 species
AUACGUAGGGGGCGAGCGUUGUCCGGAAUGAUUGGGCGUAAAGGGCGCGUAGGCGGCGCGGUAAGUCUGGAGUGAAAGUCCUGCUUUCAAGGUGGGAAUUGCUUUGGAUACUGCCGCGCUUGAGUGCAGGAGAGGUUAUCGGAAUUCCCGGUGUAGCGGUGAAAUGCGUAGAGAUCGGGAGGAACACCAGUGGCGAAGGCGGGUAACUGGACUGCAACUGACGCUGAGGCGCGAAGGUGUGGGGAGCAAACAGGAUUAGAUACCCUGGUAGUCCACACUGCAAACGAUGAAUGCUAGGUGUAAGAGGUAUCGACCCCUUUUGUGCCGGAGUCAACACAAUAAGCAUUCCGCCUGGGGAGUACGGCCGCAAGGUUGAAACUCAAAUGAAUUGACGGGG